rnacentral:rRNA from 1 species
AGUUCGAUUCUAGCUCAAGAUUGAACGCUGGCGGGAUGCUUUACAUGCAAGUCGAACGGCAGCACGGACUUCGGUCUGGUGGCGAGUGGCGAACAGGUGAGUAAUGUAUCGGAACGUGCCUAGUAGCGGGGGAUAACUGCGCGAAAGCGUAGCUAACCACCAUACGCCCUUCGAGGGCCGGGGGACCUUCGGGCCUCGCACUAUUAAAGCAGCCGAUAUCGGAUUAGCUAGUUGGUGGGGUAACGGCUCACCAAAGGCGACGAUCCGUAGCUGGUUUGAAGGACGACCAACCACACUGGGACUGAACACAGCGGGCUCUACAGGAGCAGCAGUGGGGAAUUUUGGACAAUGGGAAACCUGAUCCAGCCAUCCAACGUGUGCGAUGAAGGCCUUCGGGUUGUAAGCCUUUUGGCAGGAAAGAAACGGCACGGGAUAAUACCCGUGCAACUGACGGUACCUGCAGAAUAAGCACCGGCCAACUUACAUUGCAGCAGCCGCGGUAAUACGUAGGGUGCAAACGUUAAUCGGAAUUACUGGGCGUAAAGCGUGCGCAGGCGGUUCGGAAAGAAAGAUGUGAAAUCCCAGGCUUAACUUUGGAACUGCAUUUUAACUACCGAGCUAGAGUGUGUCAGAGGAGGUGGAAUUCCAUAUUGCUGGCAGUGAAAUGCGUAGAUAUACGGAGGAACACCGAUGGCGAAGGCAGCCUCCUGGGAUAACAGCAUAUGCACGAAAAAGCGUGGGGGUAAACGGACGAAUGCCCUGGUAGUCCACGCCUAAACGAUGUCAACUAGCUGUUGGGGCCUUCGGGCCUUGGUAACAAGCUCAGCGCGAUAAGAUGGCCCAGAGUACGACAGCAGACUCAAACUCAAAGAAUUGGCGGGUUGCCGUGAUGGGACGAUGUGGUUCAAUUCGGUGCGAAAAACGCAGCAGCAGCCACCACCACCGGCAUGUCAGAUCCGGAAGGGUUUGGAUGCGCAGAACUGGUGGACAGGCGAGCCGUCAGCUCGUCAUGGGAUGUUGGGUUCAGGUCCGCAACGAGCGCAUUACGUCAUUGGAUUGCUGAAAAGGCACCUAAUGAGACGCCCGCCAUCUUGGAAGCCAGGACGACGUGAGUCCUCAUGGCAUUACCAGCAGGCAGAACUCCGCCAAUGGCAGGACGAAGAAGGAUGGCAACCGCGAAGGUGGCGUCAGAAACCCGAUGUCAGUCGGAGAAUUUGCAGUCUGCAGCUGACGCGGCUGAAGUCGGAAUGCUGGUCAAUCAGCGGGACCGACAUGUGGCGGCGAAACACAUUUGGGCCUUGGCACGCACCGCCCGUCACACCAUGGGAGUGGGUUUCCAAGUAGUUAACCUAACCGUAAGGAGGGCGAUUACCACGGUAGGAUUCAUGACUGGGGUGAAGUCGUAACAAAAGAGUAG